rnacentral:rRNA from 1 species
AUACGGAGGGGGCUAGCGUUGUUCGGAAUUACCGGGCGUAAAGCGUACGUAGGCGGACUGAUCAGUUGGGGGUGAAAUCCCAGGGCUUAACCCUGGAACUGCCUUCAAUACUGUCAGUCUUGAGAUUGGAAGAGGUGAGUGGAAUUCCUAGUGUAGAGGUGAAAUUCAUAGAUAUUAUGAGGAACACCAGUGGCGAAGGCGGCUCACUGGUCCAAUACUGACGCUGAGGUACGAAAGCGUGGGGAGCAAACAGGAUUAGAAACCCUAGUAGUCC